rnacentral:rRNA from 1 species
GACGAACGCUGGCGGCGUGCCUAAUACAUGCAAGUCGAACGCAGUGGGGACGGGUGAGUAAAACGUGGGUAACCCCCCAUCAGCGGGGAUAACACUUGGAAACAGGUGCUAAACCGAUACUUGUGGAUGGAUCCGCGGUUCAUUAGCUAGUUGGUGAGGUAACGGCUCACCAAGGCCACGAUGCAUAGCCGACCUGAGAGGGUGAUCGGCCACACUGGGACGGAGACACGGCCCAGACUCCUACGGGAGGCAGCAGUAGGGAAUCUUGGGCAAGGGACGAAAGUCGGACCGAGCAACGCCGCGUGAGUGAAGAAGGUUUUCGGAUCGUAAAACUCUGUUGUUAGAGAAGCGGUAUCUAACCAGAAAGCCACGGCUAACUACGUGCCAGCAGCCGCGGUAAUAC